UACGGAGGGUGCAAGCGUUGUCCGGAAUCACUGGGCGUAAAGGGCGCGUAGGCGGCUCAUGAAGGCUGUGGUGAAAGUCCGGGGCUCAACCUCGGAUCGGCCGUGGCGACUCGUGGGCUGGAGCACUGUAGAGGCGGGUGGAAUUCCGGGUGUAGCGGUGGAAUGCGUAGAGAUCCGGAAGAACACCAGUGGCGAAGGCGGCCCGCUGGGCAGUGGCUGACGCUGAGGAGCGAAAGCUAGGGGAGCAAACAGG
rnacentral:rRNA from 1 species